UACGUAGGGGGCGAGCGUUGUCCGGAGUUACUGGGCGUAAAGCGCUUGUAGGCGGUCCACCAAGUUUGGGGUGACAGUUGCCGACUUAAUCGGCAAAGUGCCUCAAAGACUGGCGGACUUGAGGGCCACAGAGGGACAUGGAAUUCCAGGUGUGGUGGUGAAAUGCGUAGAUAUCUGGAAGAACACCAAAGGCGAAGGCAGUGUCCUGGGUGGUCGCUGACGCUGAGAGGCGAAAGCCAGGGGAGCGAACGGG
rnacentral:rRNA from 1 species